GCAAGCUCAGCGUAUGUGACUUUUGAAUGUUCUUGAAAUGAGUCAAGAACUCAAAUCUGGAGUUUGAACAGGAAACUGGAACACAGUGGGAGGUCUGCGAGGGUGGAGGAUGGGCGUGCUUCCAGGAUUUCAAAACACAAAACAGGUGGUUUUCAGUGGUGUUGGCUGGCUGGGGGAAAGAUGGAGAGGGGAGGGGUGAAUAGAAAGUAGGCAGGCUUCUGGGUGGAUGGGGCCCAGCACCCACAGCCUAGGCUGGCUGCCUGAGAGUAGCGAGUGACAGGUAAGGGCUCUGAACCUUCCUGCGUGCUACCCAAGGAGUGCCUAGGGCUACCAGGAGGCCCAGGGAGGAACCUUGAGACCUGAGAAAGGCUUUUCUUCCCCGAGAGGACCACUGCUCAGGCUCAGAGGCCAUGGGGUGAAGUGCACAAAAAAGUGGGCGUCCAGCCAUGCUCUAAGUCCCCCGAAGAUGAAGACCAGGGAGCAGCUUCCUCCAAUGAAGCAGCAGCAAUCAGAGGACCAGGAGGCUGAAGCCCUGAGCCCAGCCAGAGGCAGGAUCAGCCAAGUCUGGGACAGGCUUCAAUUAUUUUAGGCAGAGCUUCUGGUUCCUGGGCCUUCAGACUUGGACUAGAACUUCACUACCAGCUUUCCUGGGUCUCCAGCUUGCAGAGAGCAGAUCGCAGAACUUCUUAGCCUCCAUAAUCACAAGAACGUGUUUGCUUCCCCUUCCACCAUGAUUGUAAGUUUCCUGAGGCCUCCCCAGUCCUGCAGAACUGCUUUGAAGAAGACCACUGCGUCGGUAUUUGUGAAAUGUUUUGAGCCUCUGGAUUUAAAUAAGCUCCCGCCCCCACCCAGGCCUGCUCAGAAGAACCCAAGCCACUCAGAAGCAGGAGGCAGCCUUCACCCCAACCAGACCAAUAUCCGUUCCAGACUCAGGAUUACAACAAUCUGGGAGAGGGUCAACCAAGUCAGAGUCCCACAUGGCAGAAGAGCUGCUUUAGCUUAAGACUCUUAACUCUUUUUCUUCGGGGCAGGAAAGGUUUGAGCCAAUGAAGGAUGAGGCUUUCCAGGCCCAGGACACAACCUUGAUCCAAGGCCUAGUUGUGGCUUUAAUUUUUGUAAAUCAAGCCUCAAGUUUUUCUUCACUCUUUUAGCCAAAGAUAUGUUUCCCAGGAUGCAUGAAAUAAAUAAAUAAAAUGUACCAAAUUAGAGAUUGUGAGACAUGUAUGUCACUUAAAUCCUUUGUAGGCAAGCAGGAAUCACUGAUUCACUAAAUUCUGUCCUAAGUUUUUUUUUCUCCUAACCAUUGUCUUCAUAAGAUCAUCCCAUACUU
rnacentral:lncRNA from 1 species